GUCCCAAUCACUUCCUGAGUUUCGCUCUCCCCUUUGUGAACAUACCUAUAACUAGUUAGCUUCGGCGGGUAGGGUCUCCGUGACCCUCCCGGCCUCCCGCCCCCGGGCGGGUCGGCGCCCGCCGGAGGAUAACCAAACUCUGAUUCAACGACGUUUCUUCUGAGUGGUACAAGCAAAUAAUCAAAACUUUUAACAACGGAUCUCUUGGUUCUGGCAUCGAUGAAGAACGCAGCGAAAUGCGAUAAGUAAUGUGAAUUGCAGAAUUCAGUGAAUCAUCGAAUCUUUGAACGCACAUUGCGCCCGCCAGCAUUCUGGCGGGCAUGCCUGUUCAAGCGUCAUUUCAACCCUCAAGCUCUGCUUGGUGUUGGGGCCCUACAGCUGAUGUAGGCCCUCAAAGGUAGUGGCGGACCCUCCCGGAGCCUCCUUUGCGUAAUAACUUUACAUCUCGCACUGGGAUCCGGAGGGACUCUUGCCGUAAAACCCCCAAUUUUCCAAAGGUUGACCUCGGAUCAAUAGGAAUACCCGCUGACUUAAGCAUAUCAAUAAGCAGAGGAA
rnacentral:rRNA from 1 species